rnacentral:rRNA from 1 species
UGAGGAAUUUUGCGCAAUGGGGGAAACCCUGACGCAGCAACGCCGCGUGAGUGAUGAAGGCUUUCGGGUCGUAAAGCUCUGUCAAGUGGGAAGAACCCGUACCGAACCAAUAAUUCGGUGCGCUGACGAUACCACUGAAGGAAGCACCGGCUAACUCCGUG